rnacentral:rRNA from 1 species
UACGUAGGCAGCAAGCGUUGUUCGGAAUUACUGGGCGUAAAGAGUGUGUAGGCGGUGUUCUAAGUUUGUCGUGAAAUCUCCCGGCUUAACUGGGAGGGUGCGCCGAAAACUGGAGUGCUCGAGCGUGGGAGAGGAAAGCGGAAUUCCUGGUGUAGCGGUGAAAUGCGUAGAUAUCAGGAGGAACACCUGCGGUGUAGACGGCUUUCUGGACCAUUGCUGACGCUGAGACACGAAAGCGUGGGUAGCAAACAGG